rnacentral:lncRNA from 1 species
UUCAUUUCACUUCAAUUCUUUGAGCAUGCCUAAAUUCUCAAUCAAACUUAGUCCCCUUUGUUUCAUUGUUAAUAGCAUUACACUCAUAGAUGGAUUUUCAGAUUUUGCUCCGGGAGGGGGGGGGAAUUAAGGGAGGUGGUGAGUAAGUUGCAGCAGGGGUCUGAGUAGAGUACUACAGGGUGGUGGGCAGGUUAGGGUGGUAUGGGCAGGUUAGGGUGGUAUGGGCAGGUUAGGGUGGUAUGGGCAGGUUA